GCCUUCGUGGUGUAGUGGUCAGCACGCUUGACGCGUAACCGAGAGGUCCGUGGUUCGAUUCCCGGCGAAGGCG
rfam:Stegodyphus mimosarum contig26725, whole genome shotgun sequence.